GGCGUGCCUAAUACAUGCAAGUCGAGCGAAUCAAUGGGAGCUUGCUCCCUGAGAUUAGCGGCGGACGGGUGAGUAACACGUGGGUAACCUGCCUGUAGGAUUGGGAUAACUCCGGGAAACCGGAGCUAAUACCGGAUAACAUUUUGAACCGCGUGGUUCAAAAUUGAAAGAUGGUUUCGGCUAUCACUUACAGAUGGACCCGCGGCGCAUUAGCUAGUUGGUGAGGUAACGGCUCACCAAGGCAACGAUGCGUAGCCGACCUGAGAGGGUGAUCGGCCACACUGGGACUGAGACACGGCCCAGACUCCUACGGGAGGCAGCAGUAGGGAAUCUUCCGCAAUGGACGAAAGUCUGACGGAGCAACGCCGCGUGAACGAUGAAGGCCUUCGGGUCGUAAAGUUCUGUUGUUAGGGAAGAACAAGUACCAGAGUAACUGCUGGUACCUUGACGGUACCUAACCAGAAAGCCACGGCUAACUACGUGCCAGCAGCCGCGGUAAUACGUAGGUGGCAAGCGUUGUCCGGAAUUAUUGGGCGUAAAGCGCGCGCAGGUGGUUUCUUAAGUCUGAUGUGAAAGCCCACGGCUCAACCGUGGAGGGUCAUUGGAAACUGG
rnacentral:rRNA from 1 species